rnacentral:rRNA from 1 species
GACGAACGCUGGCGGCGUGCUUAACACAUGCAAGUCGAACGAUGAACCCGGAGCUUGCUCCGGUGGAUUAGUGGCGAACGGGUGAGUAACACGUGAGUAACCUGCCCUUGACUCUGGGAUAACUGCGGGAAACUGUAGCUAAUACCGGAUACGACCCUCGGCGGCAUCGCCAGGGGGUGGAAAGAAUUUCGGUCAAGGAUGGACUCGCGGCCUAUCAGCUAGUGGGUGGGGUAACGGCUCACCAAGGCGACGACGGGUAGCCGGCCUGAGAGGGUAACAGCGCACACUGGAACUGAGACACAGCCCAGACUCCUACGGGGGGCAGCAGUGGGGAAUAUUGCACAAUGGGCGCAAGCCUGAUGCAGCAACGCCGCGUGAGGGAUGACGGCCUUCGGGUUGUAAACCUCUUUUAGUAGGGAAGAAGCGAAAGUGACGGUACCUGCAGAAAAAGCACCGGCUAACUACGUGCCAGCCGCCGCAGUAA